GCUGAAGCCUCUUCAACUCUCUGUACAGUAUUCUCUUCGGCUUCCUCAGACUUUUUCUCCAUCUGGAAACGUGAUGAAAAAUGUAGAACUCGUCAAGAGG